rnacentral:lncRNA from 1 species
AGCUAACCGGUUCCCUCUUCCUCUAUAUAAUAAUCACGUCCUGAGAGACUGAGAUCGGAACUGAUAGUGAAGAAGAAGAAAGAAGAAAGAGGAAAGAAGAAAGAAGAAAGAAGAAAGAAGAAGAAGAAGAAGAAGAAGAAGAAGAAGAAGAAGAAGAAGAAGAAGAAAAUGGUGUUGACGGUGUAUGCUCCUUUAUACGCUUCUACGAAGAGAGCGCUUGUGACGCUAGUUGAGAAAGGCGUUGACUUCGAGACCGUCAAUGUCGAUC